rnacentral:pre_miRNA from 1 species
UUGUUUUCUGGCGUGGCAUCAUCAAGAUUCACAGGCUCUUAUUGGUACGGCUCCCCUCCUUUGUCUGAGGGUUUUAGUACUCAGAUGAGCGGUGAGAAAGAGAGAAAGAUGAGAAUCUUGAUGAUGCUGCAUCAGCAAUAAA